UUAGUCUAAUAUAUAAUCAGUGUUUAUUUAUCGAUGUCAGAUGAACCGGUUUAAUAUAAAGUUGCGAAUAUCCCAGUUAUUCCAUAGGUAUACUGCAUCAUACGUCACAGCGUGCGGAUUGUUGGGCUACCUAUGGUUAUUCAGUGUUUAUUUAUCGCGAGAGGGAAACAGUCAAAACAGUCACCGGUUUAAUAUAAAGUUGCGAAUAUCCCGGUUUAAUAUAAAGUUGUGAAUAUCGAGGGAAACAGGGUUCGUAUCUCCGCUAUGAAGACUACUAUCUCUAUCAGUCUAUGGCUAUUGGCCACCUAUACUUAUGGCUAUACCUGCACUAUAUAAAAUCUCUGGCUAUUAUGUAUGUUUACGAGUUUGAGAAUUUAACUGCUAUUUGUUAAUAUUUAAGUCGAGUAUUGUCUAAAGUGUUUUACCCAAAAUUUUCAGUACAUAAAGUGAUAAUAUCUGUAAAUUUAGUUUUUAUAUUCAGUGUUUAUUUAUCGAUGUGAUGUGGUGUCGGGCCAGUCCCAGGAAAUUUGGCCCCCUCAAACUUCGCCCCCUCCCCGGGCCAAAUUUUCUAGGAAAUUUGCCCCCCCCCCUCGGAAAUUUGGGUGAUGUUGAGGGGGUGGGUGAUUUUGAAAAAAAAUUCCCUGCAAGGCUAUUCUGAACAAAAAAAAAAAAAUACCUGCACUAACAAACUGGGGGAAAAAAUAUCCUGCCCCAGUAUUUGGUGGGGGGAAAAAUGUUGCAAAACAGCAUGGUUGCAGGGAUCGAUUUGACCAGUCCGAGAAGAUCAGCUGGUUUGAUUUUCAGGGACUAGUGUAAGGUUAAUUUCUUGUUGGAAAACUCCUCAAAAUGCUGGAAAUAGCUUACCUGAGCUUCAAAAAAUCAAACAUUUUCUGGGGGGGGGGGCAUGCCCCCAGACCCCUCUAGAGGCUCGCACCUUUGGUGGUCGACUCAGUUGUCUCAGAGUCCUAGUUAAGCAUGGCCUGAGCUGCUGCCCUAUGACAUAUACUUAUUAGUUAAACCAUGCAUAUAUAUGCUGUAGGUAGCUGCAAUGAUACAGACAGGGCUGUAGCAAGGGGGGGGGGGUAUUGGGGGGUGGUUAACCCCCAACUUUUUUAGAAUCAACAUAUUCAGAAAAUCGGGUUGGCCAUUCGUAAAAUUACGGCAAUAAUAGUAGUUGUUAAACAGAGAAAAUAUUAUAAAAUUGUAUUGUCACUAUAAAUUGUAAGCAAAUUGUAAAUUUCAACAUACUAAAACGUUUUUUCUGACCAUCAGCAUUCUGUCAAAACUUCCCCCAAAGUCCAGGAAAUGGCAUUUCAGAGACUCGAAAUUUAAAAAUUUUCUCGGGCCUCCGGCCCUCGUUUUCAGCCCCCAAUAAACAAAAGCUCC